rnacentral:rRNA from 1 species
UAGGAGCUUGCUCCUUUGACGUUAGCGGCGGACGGGUGAGUAACACGUGGAUAACCUACCUAUAAGACUGGGAUAACUUCGGGAAACCGGAGCUAAUACCGGAUAAGAUUUUGAACCGCAUGGUUCAAUAGUGAAAGACGGCCUUGCUGUCACUUAUAGAUGGAUCCGCGCCGUAUUAGCUAGUUGGUAAGGUAACGGCUUACCAAGGCAACGAUACGUAGCCGACCUGAGAGGGUGAUCGGCCACACUGGAACUGAGACACGGUCCAGACUCCUACGGGAGGCAGCAGUAGGGAAUCUUCCGCAAUGGGCGAAAGCCUGACGGAGCAACGCCGCGUGAGUGAUGAAGGUCUUCGGAUCGUAAAACUCUGUUAUCAGGGAAGAACAAACGUGUAAGUAACUGUGCACGUCUUGACGGUACCUGAUCAGAAAGCCACGGCUAACUACGUGCCAGCAGCCGCGGUAAUACGUAGGUGGCAAGCGUUAUCCGGAAUUAUUGGGCGUAAAGCGCGCGUAGGCGGUUUUUUAAGUCUGAUGUGAAAGCCCACGGCUCAACCGUGGAGGGUCAUUGGAAACUGGAAAACUUGAGUGCAGAAGAGGAAAGUGGAACUCCAUGUGGUAAGCGGU